AUUGAACGCUAGCGGGAUGCUUUACACAUGCAAGUCGAACGGCAGCGCGGACUUCGGUCUGGCGGCGAGUGGCGAACGGGUGAGUAAUGUAUCGGAACGUGCCCAGUAGCGGGGGAUAACUACGCGAAAGCGUAGCUAAUACCGCAUACGCCCUACGGGGGAAAGCAGGGGAUCGUAAGACCUUGCACUAUUGGAUCGGCCGAUAUCGGAUUAGCUAGUUGGUGAGGUAACGGCUCACCAAGGCGACGAUCCGUAGCUGGUUUGAGAGGACGACCAGCCACACUGGGACUGAGACACGGCCCAGACUCCUACGGGAGGCAGCAGUGGGGAAUGUUGGACAAUGGGGGCAACCCUGAUCCAGCCAUCCCGCGUGUGCGAUGAAGGCCUUCGGGUUGUAAAGAACUUUUGGCAGGAAAGAAACGUCGCGGGCUAAUACCCCGUGGAACUGACGGUACCUGCAGAAUAAGCACCGGCUAAAUACGUG
rnacentral:rRNA from 1 species